rnacentral:lncRNA from 10 species
UGGGCUCAAAUGAUCCUCCUGCUUCUGCCUCAGCUUCUGCCUCGGCCUCCGGAGUAGCUGGGACUACAGGCCUGAAAUACUGUUUCUUUAAGGAAGGGCAUGUUACCUAUAAUACCAAACCACAAAAGGAUAGCUGCGGUUUUGGGCGAGGAGAGCUCAGAGAGUUUCUUGCAUAUGGCCCUGUGAUGGCGGCCAUGGCCC